GACGAACGCUGGCGGCGUGCUUAACACAUGCAAGUCGUACGGUAAGGCCCUUUCGGGGGUACACGAGUGGCGAACGGGUGCGUAACACGUGCGUAACCUGCCCACAACUUUGGGAUAACGCUAGGAAACUGGUGCUAAUACUGGAUAUGUUCUCCUGCUGCAUGGUGGGGGUUGGAAAGCUCCGGCGGUUGUGGAUGGACUCGCGGCCUAUCAGCUUGUUGGUGGGGUAGUGGCCUACCAAGGCGGCGACGGGUAGCCGGCCUGAGAGGGUGACCGGCCACAUUGGGACUGAGAUACGGCCCAGACUCCUACGGGAGGCAGCAGUGGGGAAUAUUGCACAAUGGGCGCAAGCCUGAUGCAGCAACGCCGCGUGCGGGAUGACGGCCUUCGGGUUGUAAACCGCUUUCAGCAGGGACGAAGCUUUUUGUGACGGUACCUGCAGAAGAAGCACCGGCUAACUACGUG
rnacentral:rRNA from 1 species